CGAUCACAUGACUGGCUUUCCGAAGGGCCGGGACGUGCGAGGCACGUGAUCGGCUGUUGAUUGACAGCUUCAGUCACAUGAUCGCAGUCCUCGCCCUCAAUACGUGACUUCACUUCCGGCUGGCACAUAGGAGGCUGGAUUUACAUAACAGAACUACAGAACAAUGGUGGCGCAAGUGCUGCACAAAUAAUAUAACCUGGGCCACACAAAGAUGGCGGCGAUCGCGCGGCACACCUAUACACCAUUCACGAGGCCACAAUCAGAAAUUCACAAUCAUGACUUGUUAUAGGGAGCAGCAGUCAAAGAAUUAACCUGGCAUAUGACCACUGAGACCAGUGAUUGGCUCCAGCAUCACAUGAAUGGUGUAUUUGAUGACAUCAUCAACUGAGACCUGACCUGGAACACGGUAAUGUCAGCAUUGAUGGAGUAGCAGUGGAUGGAGGGGAUUUGCCAAAAAAUCCAAGCCUACCCUUUAAACCCUUUAUACUAUAGAAACACCCCUAGAGAUAGAAAUGCAUAUUAAUCUUCUUUCAACAUUGCUCAGUAUUUGAAAUGGAUUCCAGUAUUUGUCUGUCUUCAGCACAGAUAGUCAUGUUGGUGAAGGAAGAGGGACUGAAAACAAGGACAAAUGAGCAGGAGUAUGGCAAUCAAAAAGCUUUGCCAAGUUGGCACCGAAGAAUCCUUUAAACGAUCCAGCAGAAGUCUGGUGAAAAUAUUUCCAGAUGAAUUAUGUUUAUUUUAGAACCAAUUCAUAAUAAUUGUACUGUAUUACUGAAAACCUAAUCUCACAGAAUGUAAUAAAUCAUUCUGGCCUAUUAAACAUAAUGAACAUAUCAGACUAAAGUUAGACUACACCCUUACUUAUAAUUUCAUCUUCAAUAAAUAGAUUCAGCAUACACAGUGUACAUCAACUCUAAAGCUUUAGGGACAAUGCAUUUACAUAACCAGGUUCCAUAUAAUUUUAGUAUAAGGUUCCUGAUGCCUAAUAAAGUAUUUGUAAUCUUAUUAUGUUUACAAGGCGUCUAAGCAGAAUGUCUCCCAGAAUGUCAGCCAAAGGUUCAAUCUCCUGGCACUGAAUCUAAUAUGGCUGUAUGUAUGGCUACUGUUAUAAAGAGACUCUCACCACUAUCUUUUAUCAAUACAGCUAGAAUCAAAGAAAUUAGAAUCAGAAAUUAGUAUUAGGUUAAUAAUAAUAAAAAAAAAUCCCUCUAUGAAAGAAUUACAUGGUCUAAUAUAAGAUGACAUAAGCUGAGUAUUGGUACUUUGUAAAGACUGGAAAUCUCCAUAAGAUCCACAAAAUAUGGGAUGCCUGUGUAGAUAAAUGAUAUUGCAAGAGGGUAGUUGUUUGAUAGAGGGUCCACCCCCCCCCCCCCCCCC